GGCCAUAUACCGUUGAGACACUGGUUCCCUUACGAUCACCGAAGUUAAGCAAUGUCGAACCUGGUCAGUGCCUAGAUGAGUCACCGCUUGGGGAUACCAGGUGCUGUAAG